rnacentral:misc_RNA from 1 species
AAAGUCGUAACAAGGUUUCCGUAGGUGAACCUGCGGAAGGAUCAUUACAAAUCAGUGAGGGAGGGAGACUUUGUUGAAUGAAGGGGAGAUGGGAGGGGAGAGGAAGGGAGUGGAGGAGGGAGAGGAAGGGAGUGGAGGAGGGAGAGAAAGAGGAGAGGAAGGGUUUUCAAUCCAGAUCUCACUCGAUCUCACUCGAUCUCACUCGAUCUCACUCGAUCUCACUCACUCCCUCACUUCAAACCCCGCCCACUCCACUAUUUAUCCGAUCGAACAAACCACAAAUACCAAAACAAAUAUAACUCGCGUUCACGGAUCUCUAGGCUCUU